ACGCUGGCGGCGUGCCUAACACAUGCAAGUCGAACGGAACUGUUUUGAAAGAUUUCUUCGGAAUGAAUUUGAUUUAGUUUAGUGGCGGACGGGUGAGUAACGCGUGAGUAACCUGCCUUCAAGAGGGGGAUAACAUUCUGAAAAGAAUGCUAAUACCGCAUGACAUAUCGGAAUCACAUGAUUUUGAUAUCAAAGAUUUUAUCGCUUGAAGAUGGACUCGCGUCCGAUUAGUUAGUUGGUGAGGUAACGGCUCACCAAGACCGCGAUCGGUAGCCGGACUGAGAGGUUGAACGGCCACAUUGGGACUGAGACACGGCCCAGACUCCUACGGGAGGCAGCAGUGGGGGAUAUUGCGCAAUGGGGGCAACCCUGACGCAGCAACGCCGCGUGAAGGAUGAAGGUUUUCGGAUUGUAAACUUCUUUUAUUAAGGACGAAAAAUGACGGUACUUAAUGAAUAAGCUCCGGCUAACUACGUGCCAGCAGCCGCGGUAAUACGUAGGGAGCAAGCGUUGUCCGGAUUUACUGGGUGUAAAGGGUGCGUAGGCGGCUUUGCAAGUCAGAUGUGAAAUCUAUGGGCUCAACCCAUAAACUGCAUUUGAAACUGUAGAGCUUGAGUGAAGUAGAGGCAGGCGGAAUUCCCCGUGUAGCGGUGAAAUGCGUAGAGAUGGGGAGGAACACCAGUGGCGAAGGCGGCCUGCUGGGCUUUAACUGACGCUGAGGC
rnacentral:rRNA from 1 species